GAUGAACGCUGACAGAAUGCUUAACACAUGCAAGUCAACUUGAAUUUGGGUUUUUAACUUAGGUUUGGGUGGCGGACGGGUGAGUAACGCGUAAAGAACUUGCCUCACAGCUAGGGACAACAUUUGGAAACGAAUGCUAAUACCUAAUAUUAUGAUAAUAGGGCAUCCUAUAAUUAUGAAAGCUAUCAGCGCUGUGAGAGAGCUUUGCGUCCCAUUAGCUAGUUGGAGAGGUAACGGCUCACCAAGGCGAUGAUGGGUAGCCGGCCUGAGAGGGUGAUCGGCCACAAGGGGACUGAGACACGGCCCUUACUCCUACGGGAGGCAGCAGUGGGGAAUAUUGGACAAUGGACCGAGAGUCUGAUCCAGCAAUUCUGUGUGCACGAUGAAGUUUUUCGGAAUGUAAAGUGCUUUCAGUUGGGAAGAAACAAAUGACGGUACCAACAGAAGAAGUGACGGCUAAAUACGUG
rnacentral:rRNA from 1 species